rnacentral:rRNA from 1 species
UACGUAGGGCGCAAGCGUUGUCCGGAAUUAUUGGGCGUAAAGAGCGUGUAGGCGGCCAGGUAGGUGGGUUGUGAAAACUGGAGGCUCAACCUUCAGACGUCGACCCAAACCCCCUGGCUAGAGUCCGGAAGAGGAGAGUGGAAUUCCUGGUGUAGCGGUGAAAUGCGCAGAUAUCAGGAAGAACACCCGUGGCGAAGGCAGCUCUCUGGGACGGUACUGACGCUGAGACGCGAAAGCGUGGGGAGCGAACAGG